rnacentral:rRNA from 1 species
CCAGACUCCUACGGGAGGCAGCAGUGGGGAAUGUUGCACAAUGGGGGAAACCCUGAUGCAGCGACGCCGCGUGAGUGAAGAAGUAUUUCGGUAUGUAAAGCUCUAUCAGCAGGGAAGAAAAUGACGGUACCUGAUUAAGAAGCCCUGGCUAACUACGUGCCAGCAGCCGCGGUAAUACGUAGGGGGCAAGCGUUAUCCGGAUUUACUGGGUGUAAAGGGAGCGUAGACGGCAGCGCAAGUCUGAAGUGAAAUGCCGGGGCUUAACCCCGGAACUGCUUUGGAAACUGUGCGGCUUGAGUGUCGGAGAGGCAAGUGGAAUUCCUAGUGUAGCGGUGAAAUGCGUAGAUAUUAGGAGGAACACCAGUGGCGAAGGCGGCUUGCUGGACGAUGACUGACGUUGAGGCUCGAAAGCGUGGGGAGCAAACAGGAUUAGAUACCCCGGUAU